rnacentral:tRNA from 3 species
UCACGGAUAGCUCAGCUGGAAGAGCAUCAGACUUUUAAUCUGACUGUCGAAGGUUCGAAUCCUUCUCCAUUGGCCU